GGUUUGUUUUGAUAAUGAGAGGAGAAGUUGAAGAGUCUUAAAUAACUGUAAAUGAGGAGUUAUUUUUGUUGAUAAAGCUAGUUUUGUUUGGAAAGGCUUACUUACUGCCUUUAGCAGAACUCCUAUGAAUCCGACUCGGUCGCACAAAAUAUCUCAACUCAUCGCAAUUGUCUGUCUUUCUCAUCGCAAGCUUGGAGCAGGUCAGAGCAGAACAAUGACGACCCCGAUGACUCUGACCACAGGAGAUGAAGACGUCUGCUUGUUUCCCACCCAAAGCUACCUAUAUGUGUUCCACCAUCCAGCUGAGCACGCUUCAUAAACCUACACAGUUGGCAGUCCAGAUGCAGGAGCAUCAUGUGUGACAUCAUCAGCGACAUGCACAGUUAACCUCCUGUGACUGAGAUCACGUAAUGAGGAAGUAUGAUAGUGGUUAUGUGGCGAUGUAAAGCCACUGUGGCGCCUAAGUGAACUCGACGGGUGACAUGAGUGGCAAAAGAAGCACCACUGAGUGAUUUGUUAUAUAUUAUAUAUUAUGCAGUUCAGAUGAACAAAUAUCCCAUUUUACCAUAUAAUUGAAGUCUAAUUUCUAUGAAUACUUUUGGAGAUUAAUUUUGUAAAAUGAUUGUAAAAACUUUUAUCCACCACAUUUUGUAGAAUGUAAUCUUGUGAUAUGCAGUUAUUAAUAUAUAUCAUGCUACAGGAACAAAAAUGAGUUCCAUUCUGCAACAACAUAAAUGUUAAACAUGCCUCUUUUCUCCAGUUAAUCAAGGUUUUAUUAGAUUAAUUUACUGAGUAACUAAAAUCAAAUUAUUGGAAAUGUGAAUGUAAUUCUUGGAGAGGAAGUGACCUGCAUACAUGCAGCGAUAUGAAAUGUUUACGCCAACAAAUAAAAAAACAUGUCUGUGAUUCACAUGUAUGUGCGAAAGUCUCUCUUCAGAAACCAGAGGGGGGGCAAAACGGGAAAAGAUGGAGCAACAUAUGCUGUGACAAUU